CAGUUCGGAUUGGAGUCUGCAACUCGACUCCAUGAAGCUGGAUUCGCUAGUAAUCGCGCAUCAGCCAUGGCGCGGUGAAUACGUUCCCGGGCCUUGUACACACCGCCCGUCAAACCAUGGGAGUCGGGAGUGCCUGAAGUUCGUGACCGUCACAGGAGCGACCUAAGGCAAGACCGAUGACUGGGGCUAAGUCGUAACAAGGUAUC
rnacentral:rRNA from 1 species